rnacentral:tmRNA from 1 species
GGGGAUGUAAUGGUCUCGACGGGGAUAGAUGGAUUAUGAAUAGCGAGCCGGGGGGUCAUCAACCCGUUAGUAAGGUGAAACUUUUAUUAAAUAUAAAAGCAAACGAAGAAUACGCUUUGGCCGCUUAAGGCCAACCUCUGUUCGUCCUUUUCCCGCGUGGAUGGAUAAGAGGACAAGAGCGGGAUACCUGAACGCCAAUUCUCGGAGGCUGAAAGGGAAUUUCAUCGAGAUCGGGAACCUUGAGCCUGUUUGUGGGCGCAUGGCUUCUUAAAGAAAAACACAGACUGCGCUCGGAGAGUUUUGUAAGACAAUAUUUUCGGACAGGAGUUCGAUUCUCCUCAUCUCCACCA